AGUUUUUAUAGAUCAUGGGUAGAACGGAAUACUGUUAAUAUUCUGAUAAAUGUUCGAUUCAUUUUAAAGGCUU
rnacentral:tRNA from 1 species